GUAGAAAAGAAUGCGAGACAUCUGGUUUUCAGAAAGAAGUGGUGUCAGCCAGUGUUGGAUGGGAUUCGGGAUUAGGGAUGGGAGAUGCAGUGCCAGAAAAUGACACUCAGCAGACUAUGAAAUAUGAACUUGAUUAAAUUAAGCAGCAUGAAUAUUUUAUUGUCUGUGAUAAAGAGGAUAGAAAAUAACACGGGCUACAGGCCAAUGGCACGUGCCAACCUCGUAAAAUGAGGUGUGAUUUCACCAGGGUUCAGGAUCAAGUUAUUGAAAAGCAGCGACUGAACCCUCAUGUUCUCUUCCCUACUUCACACUUCAUGUCCCAGCAAGCCAGACCUUAUCUUUUACCUCUUUAUAGCAAUAUGUUACAUCACGACGUGUUCUCCUUUCAGGGCGUGUCCAUCAGACAUCCAUUCUUCAAACAACGGACAGAUGGUCAAUUAACUUUCGUUCAUUAACUCAAUUGCAUGAGGAUAAAAAAUGUCCACGCUUUCAUCGUUCGUAGAGUCUGUUGAUAGAGCCGUGCGAUAUUUCUCGUGCACCGUUAUAAUCUAACGGUUGAAUUUGUGACUCCCUGAUGUCAGGCAUGUAGAGAAAAGCGUCAUGCCUGGCGUCCAGGGUCAGAAAAAAUCACGAAGGGCACCAAACACUUCACUUUACCUCCGAUUUAGUGAUGCGGGUUAAUCUCGAACUGCGAGCAUACGGCGUCCGACCCCAUGUGCGUCUUCAACAGCUGAUUCAUUCAUCUCAGCUUUUAAUUGCCAUUUGGGGAGGAACGGAGCGAUUUCAGCAUCUGUCCUUGCAAAUGAAGGAUGAACUUUGACAACCAUAUCAGCCAACACAUAUGUCUACUUCCUGUAUUCUUUACGUUUUCAUCCAAGAACAAACUGUCUCUAGACUAAUCUAGAACACAAUCGCUACAAGUCGUAAAGCCAUUCAUUUAAAAGAGAAAUAAGCAAAGUCGAACGGUUUAUACGUCUCACUUACCGUAUAUCUACAUGUUCCCGGGAUAAGCUCCAGAUUCAGCGUGACCACCUGAUCAUGAUCGAGCGUUUACUGAAGAUGAGCAUAUUACCGUUUUAUAAAUAUAUAUAUAUAACUAAUACAUUACUGCAUGAAUAGUCCUGAUCUUAAUUACAGCGUGACUCACUGCAAAUAUGCUUAACAAAAUGGCUUCCAUCAUCGUCAUUCAGCAGCCUUUAAAAUAGCACUUGAUCCAGCACAACCUAUAAUUGAGCAUUUUCACAGUUCAGAAACUUAAUGAAACCAUGAAAUGGAGGGCAUGAAAUCGUAACGCGUGCUCGUUUUGAGUUCGUGAACUGAUCAAACGGUGGUGAUGUUUUCGUUAAUACCGUGUGCUCGGUGGUUAAGAAAACGUGUAAAUGGUUUAAAGGAUAAGCGAUGUUUACAGCUCGGUGUCAUUUCAUUCAUAACUUAUUCCAGAAAUCCUCGAGAUAAGCAUUGCUCUAGAAUAUUCUGCGUGACAACAAUAACAACAAGGGGAAAAAAAACUUUUAGUGGAUUUAAACAGCAGAGGCAGUGCUGGGGCUUGAACCCCCGACCUCCAAUCAGUGACCCAGGGCCUCAACCAAGCCUCAACCAAGCCUCAACCAAGCCUCA
ensembl:lncRNA